CAUGGUGUAAUUAAGGGAAGAGAAGAGAAGAGGUGGUGUAACGUUUAGGGUGUCCUCUGGUCUUGUGUGCUGAUAAGAUACAAAAUGGAUGUCAUUGGGUGGACGAAGAAAUUGUUCUACGCUGAGCGCAGACUCGCGGAAAAUCCAUUGCUACCAUUUUACUUCGGACGAGACCAGGCAUAGUGGAAAUUUUGAUGGAACGUCUAGCAACGUUUUAGUUGCGUAUUGGAAACUAUUAUCAAAGGGCCGAUGUUUUUCGUUUCAUUACUGCAAUUACUACCAAUCUGUUCCCCACAUUCGACUUCGGGAAGACACAAAGUUAUUUUCAUUAUUGCCAGUAUCAUAGUCGAUCUUCGCUCGACCCGAAUACGACCGAACUUUUUCGUGAUAUUUUUCAAGAUAAUGUAGGAGUUCAUCUUUCGUGGCGCUGUAAGUCUCCGAACAAUGGCUGGCCAUGUUUGCAGAAUGUAACCGUGAAACGAUGCAAUAGCAGAGUACUUGAAAAUUCGCAAAAUAUAAUAAAACCAUCUUCCGAUCAUAAUCUUCCAAGUGGAGGAAUGAUAAAACGAGUUUCCAGCCGAAAAGAAACAUUCGCAACACCCUACGUGACUGUAUUUAAUGAGCCGUUUUCGAGUCUGUUCAAGAAAACGACAAUAUUCGGUAGAUGCGUAAGCAUGAGGGCAAACCGGCUAUAACUCCAAUCAAGGACUCACUCGGCUCGGUCCACAUUCCACGUCUAGUCCACCGAUCCCUAAACUCGUCGGCACGUUCGACGUUAUGGUCCAUCUUCGUCCUGGCUUCAUUAUUUCACAGUUUUCGAUUAUUCUACUCUGAAUAUUGUAAUCUGAUUCUUAAAAUGUCAAUUUAUUUGAAGAAGAGUAAUAGAAGCCAUUAAAAGUUGAAACUUUUAAUUGAA